CCUACGGGAGGCAGCAGUGGGGAAUAUUGCACAAUGGGCGAAAGCCUGAUGCAGCAACGCCGCGUGGAGGAUGAAGGCCUUCGGGUUGUAAACUCUUGUCUUCUGGGACGAUAAUGACGGUACCAGAGGAGGAAGCCACGGCUAACUACGUGCCAGCAGCCGCGGUAAUACGUAGGUGGCGAGCGUUGUCCGGAUUUACUGGGCGUAAAGGAUGCGUAGGCGGAUAUUUAAGUGAGAUGUGAAAUACCCGGGCUUAACUUGGGUGCUGCAUUUCAAACUGGAUAUCUAGAGUGCGGGAGAGGAAAGUGGAAUUCCUAGUGUAGCGGUGAAAUGCGUAGAGAUUAGGAAGAACACCAGUGGCGAAGGCGACUUUCUGGACCGUAACUGACGCUGAGGCAUGAAAGCGUGGGGAGCAAACAGGAUUAGAUACCCGGGUAGUC
rnacentral:rRNA from 1 species